GACUCUCGGCAACGGAUAUCUCGGCUCACGCAUCGAUGAAGAACGUAGCAAAAUGCGAUACUUGGUGUGAAUUGCAGAAUCCCGUGAACCAUCGAGUUUUUGAACGCAAGUUGCGCCCAACGCCUUUUGGCUGAGGGCACGUCUGCCUGGGCGUCACAC
rnacentral:rRNA from 1 species